rnacentral:rRNA from 1 species
GUUCGAUCCUGGCUCAGGAUGAACGCUAGCGACAGGCUUAACACAUGCAAGUCGAGGGGCAGCGGGGCGGUCAGCUUGCUGAACGCUGCCGGCGACCGGCGCACGGGUGAGUAACACGUAUGCAACCUGCCCGCCACAGGGGAAUAACCGGGAGAAAUCCCGACUAAUACCGCGUAGUCCUGAUCGAGGCAUCUCGAUUGGGGGAAAGCUUCGGCGGUGGCGGAUGGGCAUGCGGCGCAUUAGCUAGUUGGCGGGGUAACGGCCCACCAAGGCGACGAUGCGUAGGGGUUCUGAGAGGAAGGUCCCCCACAUUGGUACUGAGACACGGACCAAACUCCUACGGGAGGCAGCAGUGAGGAAUAUUGGUCAAUGGGCGGAAGCCUGAACCAGCCAAGUCGCGUGAGGGAAGACGGUCCUACGGAUUGUAAACCUCUUUUGUCGGGGAGCAAAGAGGCCACGCGUGGCAAGAUGAGCGUACCCGAAGAAAAAGCAUCGGCUAACUCCGUGCCAGCAGCCGCGGUAAUACGGAGGAUGCGAGCGUUAUCCGGAUUUAUUGGGUUUAAAGGGUGCGCAGGCGGUUCAUCAAGUCAGCGGUAAAAAUUCGGGGCUCAACCCCGUCCUGCCGUUGAAACUGACGAGCUGGAGUGCGACAGAGGAAUGCGGAAUGCGAGGUGUAGCGGUGAAAUGCAUAGAUAUCGCGCAGAACUCCGAUUGCGAAGGCAGCGUUCCAUGUCGUAACUGACGCUCAGGCACGAAAGCGUGGGGAUCGAACAGGAUUAGAUACCCUGGUAGUCCACGCAGUAAACGAUGAAUACUAGCUGUUCGGGGCGAAUGAGCUUUGAGCGGCACAGCGAAAGCGUUAAGUAUUCCACCUGGGGAGUACGCCGGCAACGGUGAAACUCAAAGGAAUUGACGGGGGCCCGCACAAGCGGAGGAACAUGUGGUUUAAUUCGAUGAUACGCGAGGAACCUUACCCGGGCUCAAACGACAGGGGAAUGUGCCUGAAAGGGUGCAGCCGCAAGGCCGCUGUCGAGGUGUUGCAUGGUUGUCGUCAGCUCGUGCCGUGAGGUGUCGGCUUAAGUGCCAUAACGAGCGCAACCCCCAUCUUCAGUUACUAACGGGUAGAGCCGAGGACUCUGGAGAGACUGCCGGCGCAAGCUGCGAGGAAGGCGGGGAUGACGUCAAAUCAGCACGGCCCUUACGUCCGGGGCGACACACGUGUUACAAUGGCGGGGCACAGAGGGAAGCCAUGCGGCGACGCAGAGCGGAUCCCGAAAACCCGUCUCAGUUCGGAUCGGAGUCUGCAACUCGACUCCGUGAAGCUGGAUUCGCUAGUAAUCGCGCAUCAGCCAUGGCGCGGUGAAUACGUUCCCGGGCCUUGUACACACCGCCCGUCAAGCCAUGGGAGCCUGGAGUACCUGAAGCUCGUGACCGCAAGGAGCGACCAAGGGUA